UGGAAAGAGAAACGGUCCACGCAGAGUCCGAUGUGGGAUGUAAACUACACAUUGUGCGGUCCUGAUUUGAAAUAUAAACACUCGACAAGCUCCUUAAGUUUGACCUUAAUAUCGCUCAUUCAGACGAACAGCAUGACGUGGAAAAAGAAAAACAUGAAGCCGAUAAACAAAGUUGUUUUUGAGGGCUGUCGUGAGUUAAAGCACUUCACGGAGAAAAGUUUUAUUUCUUCAAGCGCAACUACAGACGGUUCUUCUGUAUGAACAUCUCUCUCUUCCAGAAUCAAGUCAUGCAAACAAAGACAAUGUAACAAAAAUGGAGUUUUCCAAAUUCCUGCCCACAGCUGCACACUAAUCCCAUCAAAGGAGGACCAACGAAGGAUGUUUUCAUGGUGAUUGAGGCCAUAGGAAUACAGACACUGGCUAUAGCGCCUCAAAAUGACUGUUUGACAUUACUGAGCUCAAACUCACUAAGGAGAAAAAAUGUCAUAAUUCUCCUGAUUUUCUUGGAUUUUUUUUUAAAUAUAUAGUUUUUGAGCACUAAUCCACCUCUGAAGAAAUGGGAAUAGAUGAUGGAUGGAUCAG